rnacentral:misc_RNA from 1 species
GAUGAAGAACGCAGCGAAAUGCGAUAAGUAGUGUGAAUUGCAGAAUUCAGUGAAUCAUCGAAUCUUUGAACGCACAUUGCGCCUCCUGGUAUUCCGGGAGGCAUGCCUGUUCGAGCGUCAUUAAAAUCACUCAAGCUUAGGUUUACCUAUUGCUUGGUCUUGGAGAUGGAAGCCAAUUUAUUGGAAUCCUCUUCGAAAUUCAAUGGCGAAGACCCUUGCUCUCCCAAGUGUAGUAAUAACUUAAGUCACUGAAGGAAGCGAGAAAUCUUCUGCCGUAACCCCCAUAUUUUCUAUGAUUGACCUCGGAUCAGGUAGGGAUACCCGCUGAACUUAAGCAUAUCAAUAAGCGGAGGA